rnacentral:rRNA from 1 species
AUUGAACGCUGGCGGCAGGCCUAACACAUGCAAGUCGAGCGGAUGAAGGGAGCUUGCUUCUGGAUUCAGCGGCGGACGGGUGAGUAAUGCCUAGGAAUCUGCCUGGUAGUGGGGGACAACGUUUCGAAAGGAGCGCUAAUACCGCAUACGUCCUACGGGAGAAAGCAGGGGACCUUCGGGCCUUGCGCUAUCAGAUGAGCCUAGGUCGGAUUAGCUAGUUGGUGAGGUAAUGGCUCACCAAGGCGACGAUCCGUAACUGGUCUGAGAGGAUGAUCAGUCACACUGGAACUGAGACACGGUCCAGACUCCUACGGGAGGCAACAGUGGGGAAUAUUGGACAAUGGGCGAAAGCCUGAUCCAGCCAUGCCGCGUGUGUGAAGAAGGUCUUCGGAUUGUAAAGCACUUUAAGUUGGGAGGAAGGGUUGUAGAUUAAUACUCUGCAAUUUUGACGUUACCGACAGAAUAAGCACCGGCUAACUCUGUGCCAGCCGCCGCCGUAACAC